rnacentral:lncRNA from 1 species
CAAGUGCAAUUAUAACUUGGAAGGUAAUUAGGAAAAUUCUAGAAUGCAACGGGUAUAUUGGGAACGUGGCGUAACAAAUCAAUCAAAAAUUUUCUUUUAAAGAUAUAUGUCCCAUCAUGAUUAUAAAAAAAUAUUUUUAUUGUAUUUUUGUUUGAAAAGAAGAAAGGUGAUUGGUUUGUUAUUUAUGAUGUGGUGUAAGUGUGAUAGUGUAGAAUUCCUCGGUAAUUAGAGGGAUAGUCUCAAAGUGCAGUUGAAAUUGCAGUAAAUUUAUAGAUAGCUUUAACUGUUGCAGUUGAGCCUCCUCGCACAGUUUUGAUUGCGGCAGUUGAAUUCAAAUACAUUAAAAUAAACGCUAGAUUUGAAUCUAUAUAUAAUUACAAUUGCGAUAUAGUUGCAACUAUGUGCAACCAAACAGUCCGUGAUAUAUAUGCUGUAUUGGUUAAGAGAAUAAUUCUACGUAGUGAUAUAAACUUACAUGUUUGCUCACCAAAGUAUAUAACAAUACUUAGAGCAAGUAGCAAAGGGCUUGGUGGUUAGUAUCCGAGACCCAAGUUCGAAUCCUAGUUGAUUCACAUUUCCAACUAAGUUUAUUUCUAAAUAAAAUAAACGAAGCAGAUAGCGUGCUACCUAUCUCUCAAAAAAAAAAAAAAAUUCCAUCAAAGCACUUAGGGCGUGUUUGGUUUGAAGUCGGAGUCGGAAUCAGAAUCGGAAUCAAAAUAAGCUAGAAUCGGAAUCAAAAUGACUCAUUACCUAAUUAUGUUUGGUUCAUCACCUGAAUCGGAAUCGGAAUAAAUCAUUCUCAUUGUCGGUGUUUGGUUCAGGUGGAUAUAAAAAACAUAAUCAAAUUAAUAUACUAAUAUUAUCUUUAUAAUAUAUUAAUUUAAAUUCAAAUUAAAAAUUAAAUAUUAAAAAUUUAUAUCAAAAUUUU